rnacentral:rRNA from 1 species
GACGAACGCUGGCGGCGUGCUUAACACAUGCAAGUCGAACGGAAAGGCCCUGCUUUUGUGGGGUGCUCGAGUUGCGAACGGGUGAGUAACCCGUGAGUAACCUGUCCUUGACUUUGGGAUAACUUCAGGACACUGGGGCUCAUACCGGCUAGGAGCUCCUGCUGCAUGGUGGGGGUUGGAAAGUUUCGGCGGUUGGGGAUGGACUCGCGGCUUAUCAGCUUGUUGGUUGGGUAGUGGCUUACCAAGGCUUUGACGGGUAGCCGGCCUGAGCGGGUGACCGGCCACAUUGGGACUGAGAUACGGCCCAGACUCCUACGGUAGGCAACAGUGGGGAAGAUUGCACAAGGGGCUGAAGCCUGAUGCAGCAACGCCGCGUGCGGGAUGACGUCCUUCGGGUUGUAAACCGCUUUCGCCUUUGACGAAGUGUGAGUGACGGUAAUGGGUAAAGAAGCACCGGCUAACUACGUG